rnacentral:rRNA from 1 species
CCUACGGGUGGCAGCAGUGAGGAAUAUUGGUCAAUGGGCGGGAGCCUGAACCAGCCAAGCCGCGUGAGGGAAGAAGGUACAGCGUAUCGUAAACCUCUUUUGUCAGGGAACAAAGGCGGGGACUAGUCCCUGGAUGAGGGUACCUGAAGAAAAAGCAUCGGCUAACUCCGUGCCAGCAGCCGCGGUAAUACGGAGGAUGCGUGCGUUAUCCGGGUUUAUUGGGUUUAAGGGGUGCGCAGGCGGCGUGUAACGUCAGCGGUAAAAGCCCGGGGCCAAACCCCUGCGAGCCGUGGAACCUGGCGGGCUGGAGUGGGAGAGAGGUACGCGGAAUGCGCGGGGUAGCGGUGAAAUGCGUAGAUAUAGCGCAGAACACCGAUUGCGAAGGCAGAGUACCGGCUCCAAACUGACGCUGAGGCACGAAAGCGUGGGUAUCGAACAGGAUUAGAUACCCGGGUAGUC